rnacentral:rRNA from 1 species
AUUGAACGCUGGCGGCAGGCCUAACACAUGCAAGUCGAGCGGAUGAAGGGAGCUUGCUCCUGGAUUCAGCGGCGGACGGGUGAGUAAUGCCUAGGAAUCUGCCUGGUAGUGGGGGAUAACGUCCGGAAACGGGCGCUAAUACCGCAUACGUCCUGAGGGAGAAAGUGGGGGAUCUUCGGACCUCACGCUAUCAGAUGAGCCUAGGUCGGAUUAGCUAGUUGGUGGGGUAAAGGCCUACCAAGGCGACGAUCCGUAACUGGUCUGAGAGGAUGAUCAGUCACACUGGAACUGAGACACGGUCCAGACUCCUACGGGAGGCAGCAGUGGGGAAUAUUGGACAAUGGGCUAAAGCCUGAUCCAGCCAUGCCGCGUGUGUGAAGAAGGUCUUCGGAUUGUAAAGCACUUUAAGUUGGGAGGAAGGGCAGUAAGUUAAUACCUUGCUGUUUUGACGUUACCAACAGAAUAAGCACCGGCUAACUUCGUG